GGGGUCAUAGCUCAGCUGGGAGAGCGCUAGUAUCGCACACUAGAGGUCUGGGGUUCGAUCCCCCAUGACUCCACCA
rnacentral:tRNA from 1 species